rnacentral:misc_RNA from 1 species
UGUAAUCCUUGAGAGAUCCCAAUGUAUUCCACAAAUGCUUUCGAUAAUAAUCUAUCCUGAAUUCAUCCUGAAGUGCUUCCCCAAUGGGUUGGCUUUCGUUAUUGAGAUUAUCAACUCCUAUAAAUUAGUGUAUAUGAAACUUAAAAAAGAGAUCAAAGUAUAAAUAUAAUUUACUAGCCAAUAUUCCGACAUGAGAAAGACAUUGACCACUUACCAUUCUCUGUAAUGUAAAUUACUGGAUCAUUGUAUGUAUCUUUGGUGUAAUUCAAUAGAUGUCGGAUGCCUUUCGGGAAAAUAUAAAACCAA